rfam:Schistosoma mattheei strain Denwood, Zambia genome assembly, scaffold: SMTD_contig0012684
AGCUUUCGGAAUCCGUGCUGAGAUUUCGUCAGACACCGACUCAUUAGGGCUGAUGAAACUCCCAAAAUAAGUGAUGUC